rnacentral:rRNA from 1 species
CAGUCGCCGCGGGAAUACGAAGGGGGCUAGCGUUGUUCGGAUUUACUGGGCGUAAAGGGCGCGUAGGCGGACUGAUAAGUCAGGGGUGAAAUCCCAAGGCUCAACCUUGGAACUGCCUUUGAUACUGUUUGUCUUGAGUUCGAGAGAGGUAAGUGGAACUGCAAGUGUAGAGGUGAAAUUCGUAGAUAUUCGCAAGAACACCAGUGGCGAAGGCGGCUUACUGGCUCGAAACUGACGCUGAGGCGCGAAAGCGUGGGGAGCAAACAGGAUUAGAUACCCCGGUAGUCCCUGUCUCUUAUAC